AUGUCCAUUGCGAACUUCAUUAUCUUGUGUUUGGACCGCGCCAUGGAGGUCCGUGACCUCACGCCGGAAGAAAGAUGGCUCAGGGGCACGAUCAAGCAUGCGCUGCUUGGGUUGGCCUCCCUGCAGGGUACCAUUGAGAGGCAGCGAUCGCGGCUUAGGUGGAUUCGCGAGGGGGAUGCGAACAAGAAAUUGUUCCACGCUGUGGCGAAUGGACGCAGAUCCAAGAAUUUCAUCCCUCACCUCAGGCACAAUGAUGAGGUGAUUAUGGAUCAACAACGGAAAGAGGAUAUCUUUACGGAUACGUACGAGCAACUGCUAGGUCGGACACAUUCGAGGGAGGCUGGUGUGGAU
rnacentral:rRNA from 1 species